rnacentral:rRNA from 1 species
AGAUUGAGCGCUGGCGGCAUGCUUUACACAUGCAAGUCGAACGGUAACAGGCCGCAAGGUGCUGACGAGUGGCGAACGGGUGAGUAAUGUAUCGGAACGUGCCCAGUCGUGGGGGAUAACGCAGCGAAAGCUGCGCUAAUACCGCAUACGAUCUAUGGAUGAAAGCGGGGGACCGUAAGGCCUCGCGCGAUUGGAGCGGCCGAUAUCAGAUUAGGUAGUUGGUGGGGUAAAGGCUCACCAAGCCAACGAUCUGUAGCUGGUCUGAGAGGACGACCAGCCACACUGGGACUGAGACACGGCCCAGACUCCUACGGGAGGCAGCAGUGGGGAAUUUUGGACAAUGGGCGCAAGCCUGAUCCAGCAAUGCCGCGUGCAGGAAGAAGGCCUCGGUUGUAAACUGCUUUGUACGGAACGAAACGGUACCUGGUUAAUACCUGGGCGUAAUGACGGUACCGUAAGAAUAAGACACCGCUAACUACGUAGUCCACGACGACGCCGUA